rnacentral:piRNA from 1 species
UAGAGUCAUCUUUAGAGGAUGCCAGC